rnacentral:misc_RNA from 1 species
ACACCUCAACCCUCCAAUGUUUUUGCAUUGAAGGUGUUGGUAGUGAGCGCUGCCGGACUUUUGGUCGGCUCGCUUUAAAAUCGCUUUAAAAUCAUUAGCUGGAUCCAUUCUGACCUGGUUCUACUCGGCGUAAUAAGUUAUUAUCGUCGAGGACGCUUGUCUUUUUAGGCAGGCGGCCACAGUAAGGGUGUUUGAACCGCUUCCAACACGUCUUGCUCUUGUAGCAAACACUUGAAC